CCCUUAGAUGUUCUGGGCUGCACACGCGCUACACUGACAUACUCAGCAAGUUUCCUUUCCCGAAAGGGUUGGGUAAUCUCGUUAGUGUAUGUCGUGAUGGGGAUAGAAUAUUGUAAUUAUUGCUCUUUAACGAGGAAUUCCUAGUAAGCGCAAGUCAACAGCUUGCGCUGAUUACGUCCCUGCCCUUUGUACACACCGCCCGUCGCUCCUACCGAUUGGGUGAUCCGGUGAAUGGUUCGGACUCUGGCUAUGCUAGCUACUAGCUACGUCAGGGAAAGUUCUGUGAACCUUAUCACUUGGAGGAAGGAGAAGUCGUAACA
rnacentral:rRNA from 1 species